rnacentral:lncRNA from 1 species
CUGCCGGUGCUGCCCCUGGACAGGACUGUCCUCCAGCACAUCCUCAGCCACUGAGGAGCCAUCAGCUUCAGCUCCAGCUCCAUGUUCUUCAGCUGUCCCAAUUCCCGGCAGCUAUCCCAGAGGUGUGGAGCUAUCUCCUAUGACAGUUCUGAUCACACUGCAUUAUACCUCAUGUGCUAGGAGAUGUACAUGUAAGGAGCCAAGCAGGAUUUGAAUCUGAAAGAAGAGAUUCUCAACUAUAUAUUGAUUUUCAUGUUUUCCACUUGGGCUCUUCAUGCCAGAAUUAAA